UACAGAGGGUGCAAGCGUUGUUCGGAAUUAUUGGGCGUAAAGCGCGUGUAGGCGGCUUUGCAAGUCGGGUGUGAAAGCCCUCAGCUCAACUGAGGAAGUGCGCCCGAAACUGCAGAGCUUGAGUACCGGAGAGGAUGGCGGAAUUCCCCAAGUAGAGGUGAAAUUCGUAGAUAUGGGGAGGAACACCGGUGGCGAAGGCGGCCAUCUGGACGGAUACUGACGCUGAGACGCAAAAGCGUGGGGAGCAAACAGG
rnacentral:rRNA from 1 species